rnacentral:lncRNA from 1 species
UCGGUGCAUUACGUUUGCGCGCAUUACCAUUACAUUUGCGCGCAAAAAUCGUUACGUUUGCGCGCAGCUUUUGAUUACAUUUGCGCGCAGUUUUGAUUACAUUUGCGCGCAUUUUUUUGACAGGUAAACUCAGGUAAAAUACAGGUAAUAAUAUUUAAUAAUUUAUUAUUUUUUUCAAAUAUUUACAAGUAUAAGUAAACCUUCCGUUAGUCUAAGUCACCUGCUCAGCAACGAGGAGGAAGGAGGAUUUUGAGAAGUAUAAGUCCGUUUUAUUAUGCACAAACACUAAAUCCUAGAAAUAUAUACAGAUACAAAUGUUAAAAUGUUAAAACAUAGCUAAUCUAAAUCGUAAAAGUACUGAUAAUACAUGACUUUACAUGUCGGUACGUGCCGAAAACUCGAAGCCAACUGCUUUUAGAAACGACAGUCUGUUAACUUCUUCAUCCUGAUAUUUUUCUGAAUUGCUCCAUCAAAUAAUUUGUUUUUAUCUUUUUCACUUCUGCACACUACUGCUGCUGUAGCAAGCCCUCUUAUUUUGAUGUAUGUGGUGGUCUGCAUUGCGAUUUCAAAGUCAAUAUGCACGAUCCU